UAGGGAAUCUUCCGCAAUGGGGGGAACCCUGACCGAGCAACGCCGCGUGAGUGAAGAAGGUUUUCGGAUCGUAAAGCUCUGUUGUUAAGGAAGAACGAGUGUGAGAAUGGAAGGUUCAUACUGGGACGGUACUUAACCAAAAAGGGACGGCUAACUACUUGCCACCACCCGCGGUAAUACGUAGGUCCCAGGCGUUGUCCGGAUUUAUUGGGCGUAAAGCGAGCGCAGGCGGUUAUAUAAUUCUAAGGUUAAAGGCUGUGGCUUAACCAUAGUACGCUUUGGAAACUGUUUAACUUGAGUGCAAAAGAGGAAAGUGGAAUUCCAUGUGUAGCGGUGAAAUGCGUAGAUAUAUGGAGGAACACCGGUGGCGAAAGCGACUCUCUGGCUUGUAACUGACGCUGAUGCUCGAAAGCGUGGGGAGCAAACAGGAUUAGAUACCCUGGUAGUCCACGCCGUAAAACGAUGAGUGCUANGUGUUAGACNCUUUCCGGNNNUUAAGUGCCGCAGCUAACGCAUUAAGCACUCCGCCUGGGGAGUACGACCGCAAGGUUG
rnacentral:rRNA from 1 species